AUACGUAGGUGGCGAGCGUUGUCCGGAAUCACUGGGCGUAAAGGGUGCGUAGGCGGCUAUUUAAGUCCUGUGUGAAAGGCCCCGGCUCAACCGGGGAGUGCCAUGGGAAACUGGGUGGCUUGAGUGCUGGAGAGGGUUGCGGAAUUCCCGGCGUAGCGGUGAAAUGCGUAGAUUUCGGGAGGAACACCAGUGGCGAAGGCGGCAACCUGGACAGUAACUGACGCUGAGGCACGACAGCUGGGGUAGCGAACAGGAUUAGAUACCCUGGUAGUCCCAGCCGUAAACGAUGAGUGCUAGGUGUUGCGGGUAUCGACCCCUGCAGUGCCGCAGUUAACGCAAUAAGCACUCCGCCUGGGGAGUACGGCCGCAAGGCUGAA
rnacentral:rRNA from 1 species